CGGAAACCUCACCUGGGUCUCAGGAGUUUUCAUGAUGUAAAUACCAAAUUCCUUCCCUCUCUCUCUCUCUUCCUCCUUCUCUCCCCUCCCCCCCUUUCUAAAGCAAAGGGCAACAGCCGAAUUAGAUCGAGAUGAGGGAUUGUUUUGCAAAUUAGGUCCAGCACCAGAAGGAUAAAGGCCAGGCCUAAAAAGAAAUUGGAUUACAGGAAAAGGCCAGGAGAGAUGGGGGAAAGGAAUCUGUUGCCAAGGCUAGUGACCUGAAUUUGCCAUGUGACAGGAUACCGGCAGUCUAGUCCAAUAGCAAGCCACCAUGCUCCACCGAACAGGCAUGAGUCAGCGGGAAGAGACAAGAAUCAGCUGGAAUACCAUGAGAAGUCCUUUUGUGCGUUUCUCUCUAGGAAGUGAAGACCAGCAAAGACCACCGAAGGCUGGAAACAUCUCUCUGACAGCUUCCAGAAAAACAUCACGUGACAAACUGAGUUUCCAAAGAAACCAGAAAUUUCCACUUUGUGAAAACCUGUUUAACAAAACAAAACAAGGCCUGUGGCUACAGGAGUUGGUAGAGUUUAUCUUGCCUAGAGCACAAAGUCCUGGGCUUAAUUCCUAGCACUGCAUAAAAACCAAGCUAUGGGACACAUUUGAGGCUAUGGUCUAUGUUUCAAAAACAAAGAAAUCCCUCACACCUGAUACCUGUUGGUGAAUCAUUUCCCCCUCCUCAGGGGGUGCCAGACACUGUUAGUCAUCCCUACAGUGCUACCUCAGCACCUGAGCUGGGGACCGAACCCAGGGCCUUCUGCUUCCUAGGCAAGCGCUCUACCACUGAGCUAAAUCCCCAACCCCUUAAACAGACUUUUCAAGAGCUGCC
rnacentral:lncRNA from 1 species